GAUGAACGCUAGCGGCAGGCUUAAUACAUGCAAGUCGAGGGGCAGCAGGAAUAGCAAUAUUUGCUGGCGACCGGCGCACGGGUGCGUAACACGUAUACAAUCUGCCUUUAACAGGGGGAUAGCCCGGAGAAAUCCGGAUUAAUACCCCAUAACAAUAGAACAAGCAUUUGUUUUAUUUAAAAGCUCCGGCGGUUAGAGAUGAGUAUGCGUCUGAUUAGCUAGUUGGUGAGGUAACGGCUCACCAAGGCGACGAUCAGUAGGGGAUCUGAGAGGAUUAACCCCCACACGGAUACUGAGACACGGAUCCGACUCCUACGGGAGGCAGCAGUAAGGAAUAUUGGACAAUGCCCGCAAGGGUGAUCCAGCCAUGCCGCGUGCAGGAAGACGGCCCUAUGGGUUGUAAACUGCUCUUGUACCGGAGAAAACCUCCCCUCGUGAGGGGAGCUGAUAGUAUGGUAAGAAUAAGCAUCGGCUAACUUCGUGCCAGCCGCCGCAGUAA
rnacentral:rRNA from 1 species